UACGAAGGGGGCUAGCGUUGCUCGGAAUCACUGGGCGUAAAGAGCUCGUAGGCGGCUCUUUAAGUCAGGGGUGAAAUCCUGGAGCUCAACUCCAGAACUGCCUUUGAUACUGGGGAUCUCGAGUCCGGGAGAGGUGAGUGGAACUCCGAGUGUAGAGGUGAAAUUCGUAGAUAUUCGGAAGAACACCAGUGGCGAAGGCGGCUCACUGGCCCGGUACUGACGCUGAGGUGCGAAAGCGUGGGGAGCAAACCGG
rnacentral:rRNA from 1 species